UACAGAGGGUGCAAGCGUUGUUCGGAAUUAUUGGGCGUAAAGGGCGCGUAGGCGGUUCGGCAAGUCUCUAGUGAAAUCUCUGGGCUCAACUCAGAGUCUGCUGGGGAAACUGCCGGGCUUGAGUGUGGGAGAGGAGAGUGGAAUUCCCGGUGUAGCGGUGAAAUGCGUAGAUAUCGGGGAGGAACACCGGUGGCGAAGGCGGCGCUCUGGACCGAGACGUGACGCGU
rnacentral:rRNA from 1 species